rnacentral:rRNA from 1 species
GGGUCAGUAGGCUGGUCGUGCCACCGGUACGUACUGGUCUCACUGAUUCCUCCCCCCUGAAGAACCGUAAUGCCAUUAAUUUGGUGUUGCGGGGAAACAGGACUGUUACUUUGAAAAAAUUAGAGUGUUUAAAGUAAGCUAACGCUUGAAUACAUUAGCAUGGAAUAAUGAAAUAGGACGAUCGAUCCUAUUUUGUUGGUUUCUAGGAUUGACGUA